rnacentral:rRNA from 1 species
GACGAACGCUGGCGGCGUGCUUAACACAUGCAAGUCGAGCGGUAAGGCCCUUUCGGGGGUACACGAGCGGCGAACGGGUGAGUAACACGUGGGUGACCUGCCCUCAGCUCUGGGAUAAGCCCGGGAAACUGGGUCUAAUACUGGAUAUGACUCCACGGUGCAUGCCGUGGGGUGGAAAGCCUUGUGCGGCUGAGGAUGGGCCCGCGGCCUAUCAGCUUGUUGGUGGGGUGAUGGCCUACCAAGGCGACGACGGGUAGCCGGCCUGAGAGGGCGACCGGCCACACUGGGACUGAGACACGGCCCAGACUCCUACGGGAGGCAGCAGGUGGGGAAUCUUGCGCAAUGGGCGAAAGCCUGACGCAGCGACGCCGCGUGAGGGAUGAC